rnacentral:rRNA from 1 species
UACGUAGGGUGCGAGCGUUAAUCGGAAUUACUGGGCGUAAAGCGUGCGCAGGCGGUUUUGUAAGUCUGUCGUGAAAUCCCCCGGGCUUAACCUGGGAAUUGCGAUGGAGACUGCAAGGCUAGAAUCUGGCAGAGGGGGGUAGAAUUCCACGUGUAGCAGUGAAAUGCGUAGAGAUGUGGAGGAACACCGAUGGCGAAGGCAGCCCCCUGGGUCAAGAUUGACGCUCAUGCACGAAAGCGUGGGGAGCAAA